rnacentral:rRNA from 1 species
GAUGAACGCUGGCGGCGUGCUUAACACAUGCAAGUCGAACGAAGCACUCUAUUUGAUUUCCUUCGGGACUGAUUAUUUUGUGACUGAGUGGCGGACGGGUGAGUAACGCGUGGGUAACCUGCCUUGUACAGGGGGAUAACAGUUGGAAACGGCUGCUAAUCCCGCAUAAGCGCACAGCAUCGCAUGAUGCAGUGUGAAAAACUCCGGUGGUAUAAGAUGGACCCGCGUUGGAUUCGCUAGUUGGUGCGGUAACGGCCCACCAAGGCGACGAUCCAUAGCCGAGCUGAGAGGGUGACCGGCCACAUUGGUACUGAGACACGGCCCAAACUCCUACGGGAAGCAGCAGUGGGGAAUAUUGCACAAUGGGCGAAAGCCUGAUGCAGCGACGCCGCGUGAGCGAAGAAGUAUUGCUGUAUGUAAAGCUCUAUCAGCAGGGAAGAUAAUGACGGUACCUAACGAAGAAGCACCGGCUAAAUACGUG